CAGUCGCCACGGUAAUACAUAGGUGGCAAGCGUUGUCCGGGAUUAUUGGGCGUAAAGGGCUCGCAGGCGGUUUCUUAAGUCUGAUGUGAAAGCCCCCGGCUCAACCGGGGAGGGUCAUUGGAAACUGGGAAACUUGAGUGCAGAAGAGGAGAGUGGAAUUCCACGUGUAGCGGUGAAAUGCGUAGAGAUGUGGAGGAACACCAGUGGCGAAGGCGACUCUCUGGUCUGUAACUGACGCUGAGGAGCGAAAGCGUGGGGAGCGAACAGGAUUAGAUACCCCCGUAGUCCCUGUCUCUUAUAC
rnacentral:rRNA from 1 species